rnacentral:rRNA from 1 species
UACGUAGGGUCCGAGCGUUGUCCGGAAUUACUGGGCGUACAGAGCGCGCAGGCGGUCGUGCAAGUCGCGUGUGAAAGCCCCCGGCUCAACUGGGGAGGGUCACGCGAUACUGCUCGACUCGAAGGCAGGAGAGGGAAGUGGAAUUCCCGGUGUAGUGGUGAAAUGCGUAGAUAUCGGGAGGAACACCAGUGGCGAAGGCGACUUCCUGGCCGGUUCUUGACGCUGAGGCGCGAAAGCUAGGGUAGCAAACGGG